UACGUAGGUGGCGAGCGUUGUCCGGAAUUAUUGGGCGUAAAGAGCUCGUAGGCGGUCUGUCGCGUCGGCUGUGAAAACCCGAGGCUCAACCUCGGGCCUGCAGUCGAUACGGGCAGACUAGAGUUCGGCAGGGGAGACUGGAAUUCCUGGUGUAGCGGUGAAAUGCGCAGAUAUCAGGAGGAACACCGGUGGCGAAGGCGGGUCUCUGGGCCGACACUGACGCUGAGGAGCGAAAGCGUGGGGAGCGAACAGG
rnacentral:rRNA from 1 species